GUGAGGAAUAUUGCGCAAUGAGCGAAAGCUAGACGCAGCAACGCCGCGUGGACGAUGAAGGCCUUCGGGUCGUAAAGUCCUUUUUAGAGGGACGAGUGAGGACGGUACCUCUAGAAUAAGUCACGGCUAACUACGUGCCAGCAGCCGCGGUAAAACGUAGGUGGCAAGCGUUAUCCGGAUUCACUGGGCGUAAAGCGCCUGCAGGCGGUCUCGUAAGUGGGAUGUGAAAUCUCCUGGCUUAACUGGGAGGGGCCAUUCCAUACUGCGAGACUUGAGGGCAGAAGAGGGAAGCGGAAUUCCCGGUGUAGUGGUGAAAUGCGUAGAUAUCGGGAGGAACACCAGUGGCGAAGGCGGCUUCCUGGCCUGUUUCUGACGCUAAGAGGCGAAAGCUAGGGGAGCGAACGGGAUUAGAAACCCCUGUAGUCC
rnacentral:rRNA from 1 species